rnacentral:rRNA from 1 species
AUUGAACGCUGGCGGUAUGCUUUACACAUGCAAGUCGAACGGUAACAGGCCUUCUGGUGCUGACGAGUGGCGAACGGGGGAGUAAUGCAUCUGAACGUGCCCCGUGGUGGGGGAUAACGCAGCGUAAGCUGGGCUAAUACCGCAUGUUAUCUGAGGAUGAAAGCGGGGUACCAAUCAGCAAUGUUUGGCCUCGCGCCGCUGGAGCGGCCGAUGUCUGAUUAGGUAGUUGGUGGGGUAAAGGCCUACCAAGCCGACGAUCUGUAGCUGGUAUGAGAGGACGACCAGGCAGACUGGGACUGAGACACGGCACAGACUACUACGGGAGGAAGCAGUGGGGAAUUUUGGACAAUGGGCGGAAGCCUGAUCCAGCAAUGCCGCGUGCGGGAAGAAGGCCUUCGGGUUGUAAACCGCUUUUGUACGGAACGAAGAGGCUCUGGAUAAUACCUGGGGCUGAUGACGGUACCGUAAGAAUAAGCACCGGCUAACUACGUG